AAUCCAGUAAAGAACAUCCCUCCAUGACUUCUGCAUCAGCUUCUGCUUUCGGGCCUGCUUGAGUUCUAGUCCCGACUUCCUUGGUGAUGAACAGCAGUAUGGAAGUGGUAGCAAUUCCCCACAAGAGGACUCUAGCUUCAUGACCUUUUUAACUUCCAAGAGCCUAUCUCUAGAAACCAUCACGUUGGGGAUUAGCAAGUGAACACUGCAUGCCUCCACUCCAUGUGCUCAUGAUGGACGUGUACUGGGCAGUGCUAGAGAUGUUCGCCAUCAACUUUAAGGAAUUGAAAGCAUCCCUAAAUAUCUCUGAAGGGAUCAAAAAUUACCAAAAUACCUCAAAAGGGAAGAUACUUCAGUGAGGGGGUCAGCGUUGAGAAUGGAGUUUUGGAUUCACUUAGGUUUCUUUAGUUUACACUGACCAGGGUACCACAAACCCACUGCUUUUGCUCAGGAGAUUAACUUCUAUCCAGGCUACUUCAGACAAGUGGUGCAGGCUUGGUCUAUCAACUUGACAUGAGCUAAAGUAAUCUGAGAAGAAUGCGUCUCACUUGAAAAUAUGCCAUCAUAAUUAGGCUGUGGUCAAGCCUGUGAAACAUUCUCUUAUCAAAUGAUUGAUAUAAAACGAUCCAGCCCCGUGUAGGUGGGGAACUCCUGUGCUGGUGGCCCUGGGUUCUAUAAGAAAAGAGGAUGAGGGAGCCAUGAGGAG
rnacentral:lncRNA from 1 species